CCAUCAGAAAUAUGUAAAAGAAAUCAUGGUUGACGAAAUAGUAGUCAGAGAAUGUGUUCUACGAAAGUAUUGCAUGAACUAAAACCUCACAAGAAUGUGGCAAUUCAUUUCAUCUUUGAAAAGAGAAAACAAGGAACAUAAUCAUUGCUGAUUAUGAUCACAACUGGGAAAUACAGACUUGAAGUCAGAAACAGAACUGAUUGCAGAGGAAGGGUUGCAUGGGAAAAUAAUUGGCUUCCAGAACUUCAAGAGUUAUGCUCCACACAAUGAGUAAAGUUGUAGCAACCUCGAGUAGUGGUGUCAAUGUACGAGACAAGUUUGCGGAUGACUUUUAAGAUUUGUUCACACACACAGACACACACACAUUUGUUUAGGGCAUCCCAUUCCAUUCCCUGAGCAGAGAAAUAGAAUACCUGUUUUCAAAUCCUAGAUCUAGCAACUGCAAACUUCUUGUCAGCUAAGUAGCAACCAUCCUUUUACAAGAUUUACAGCUUUAAAUGCUUUAGUGUUGUUAAAUUUAGUUCCUAUCUACGGGUUGUAUUAGGGCUAGUGAGUUGCAAUUGUACGAAACCCUUGCUUCAUCUUACACAUCACAUUAAACUUAUUCAUCCCAAUCCAUUCCCUGAGCAGAGAAGUAGAAUACCUGUUUUCAAAUCCUAGAUCUAGCAACUGCAAACUUCUUGUCAGCUAAGUAGCAACCAUCUUUUUACAAGAUUUACAGCUUUAAAUACUUUAGUGUUGUUAAAUUUAGUUCCUAUCUACGGGUUGUAUUAGGGCUAGUGAGUUGCAAUUGUACGAAAGCCUUGCUUCAUCUUACACAUCACAUUAAACUUAUUACUCUUCUUCCUACAGGCCAGUGCAUCAACCAUAAGCCUAAAAUUAUUCUUUUAACAACAUAUAUUGAUAUACUAAAUUUAUGGAAAUGCAGAUAACACAUUCCAGCACUCCUUUAUCCUGAUAGCUUUUGAAUGGAAAAAGAAGGCCAAACUAGAAGAAACAACUAAUCAAAGGCGAAAUGCUUAUCAAGGAAAGGUAGAGUCUGUGAUAAAAAAAAAAGGGAAAAGAAUUUUGAAGAGGUAGAGACAAGCAUAAAAUAGAGAAGGAGAAGA